GGUGCGGGCUCUGAUUGGGCGAGGCGGAGUCGCCAGGGCGCCGUCGCUCUACGUGGCCGUCUUCCCGGCGGGUCUUGGAUGUUGGGCAACGGCUGAGAGGGCGUCCCCAGCAUGUCCGCGCCCGCGGCUUUCUCCGGGCUCUCCGCAGGCGUCGUGCCCGCAUUCGUCACGCGUGGUGGCUCUCAGGGGCGCACCGCACAGGCCCUUGCCGGGCGCUGGGAGGGCGGGGCCCUACACCAGCGACAGCCUUACAGGAAAACGUGUUAGGGACAAGGGCUGCCGUGGGCAGCGAGGGUUGUAGACUCAUUUGUGUUCUGAAUUCUGGUGGGGGUAGUGAUGGAUGCUGCCCCAGUUCACAGAAUUAUCUGACUGGGGAGGUAAAGGUACUUGAAUUGCAGGUACUGUUUUUGGCCCUGUGUCCCCUUUAUUUUGGCCCAGUGUGCUUCCGUUUGAGUAGUCCGUAGUGGAACUAUUUUUUUUUUCCCCAAAAAACAGUUAUUUGAAAACACGUGAUGGAGCAGAAUGAAAAUAGUAGGGAGGAAUUCCUGGGAAUUUGCAUUUGCCUUUUUUUUUUUUUUUCCUUUCUUAACCUUAAGGAGUUUCCACUUGUCGAUUGUGGCAAAAGAAGAGGUAUGGGAGACCUCACCUACGACAUCAAAAAUCACCUUUUCUAUUUGUUUUUCUGUUCGCUGGUGUGAGUAAAAUACCAAAUGAAAAUAAAAAGGAAAAAAAAUCAAAGUGAACUGAAGAAAAUAAGUUCCCAAAACAGGCAGAAGAUGUUGGAAGAUGAGAUGUCAGAAGCUAAGGACAAUAGCAGUAGAGAUGAGGUUCUUGUCCCUCAUAAGAAUUGUGGGAAGAAUACUACUGCCCCAGGAAAGAAAGUAGGGGAGGAAAAGUCUCUGGCUCCUGUGUUUUCUGAGAAGUUAAUAUCACCAAGCAGGAGGGAAGCCAAGCUCAAGGACCAUAAGAGCCACCAGGAGAAUGACGACCGGAACAGUGAAUUGGACCAGGAUGAGGAAGGAGAUUUGGUUAUGUGA
rnacentral:lncRNA from 10 species